rnacentral:rRNA from 1 species
UACGUAGGGGGCAAGCGUUGUCCGGAAUCAUUGGGCGUAAAGCGCGUGUAGGCGGUUCGAUAAGUCUGCUGUGAAAGUCCAGGGCUCAACCCUGGGAUGCCGGUGGAUACUGUCGAGCUAGAGUACGGAAGAGGCGAGUGGAAUUCCCGGUGUAGCGGUGAAAUGCGCAGAUAUCGGCAGGAACACCCAGGGGGAAACCAGCCGACUGGGCGAGUGCUGACGCUGAGGUGCGAGAGCGUGGGGAGCGAACCGG